GACUUCCUUUGUUUUUUGCCCGUAUAUUUCUCCUCUGGUUCUUCCAGGCAUCGCAUUUUAUUAGGUCCAUAUAAACUAUUUAUUGCUGGAGCACUAAAGCAAGGGGGGGUGCUUUUACUUUGCCUGAAUGGUCACAAAGUGGAGCACUGAUGGAAAGGGGCCCUGGAGUUCAUUCUCAGUGGUUCCGGUGGCCUCUGGUUACUACUGUCCUUCUCCAACGUGCAAGACAAAAGUCAUCCAAGUAUUGGUCAUUUCAAGGGCAGAAGAAGUAGCAAUGGGUGAGAAGUGGAAUCUAGACCCGUUUGUGCUGUGUCUGCAGAAACCACCACUGACAUGGGCACAGCCAUUAUGUCUUUUAAAGAAGUUGCUAAGCGCUUAGCAAUCCAAUGGCCUUUUAAAAGGUCACAAUUAGGAACCUGCAGAAUUUCUCCAUUUGGAGUGUUGGGAGGGUGAGGAUCUUGACGACAUUUGUCCUUUACCCAACCUUGCUUUCUAGUCUAACGCAGACCAAUGGAGCUGUCAGUGGGCAGAAUGAGGCCCUCUGUGUCUGGCUGGGCUUCUGGACGUGUUUCUUAUGCUGUUCCCCGCUACUCCUGUAAUACCAGAGCCGAGAUGAUUAAAGACGCAAGUUUACGAAGAACACCCGUGUUUAAAACGUGGGAAGGAAGUUCAGAGUAGGGAUUAAAAUAGAGCCAAGAUACUGCAAGCAAAGAGACGGUGACCUUAGGAUGGCUCCGUGAAGGCCACGGAGCUGAGCGUAAAUGGAAGCAAGCCCAGGGGUUCUGCGGAUCCAACCAAGCUGUUGCCCUAACACGGGCCAGCCCUUCUCGUGACUGCUGUUCCGUGACACGUUGUAAGCUAGAUUCCUUUACUGAAACACAAAGCGCUGUGCAUGAGGACCACAGCAAGCCCCGCCCUUCUGAACCCAACUUCCAACUGAAUGAACUCGAAGGAACCAGCACAAGCCA